rnacentral:misc_RNA from 1 species
AACGGAUGUAGCAAUAGUUGUGACAACACUUUCUUCUUACAUUGUACUGAACAGUUUUAUUUCACUACAUCGGCAAACACACGCUUACAUUCAUUCUUUCUCAAGAAUUUUUCUUUGAUUUCAUCAUCAAACAGGUAGCCGGACGUUCUCUAGCAGAUUUGGUCGGCAUCGAUUUAAUUAACACUUAACAACCUGCCUCACAUCUACAAUGAGAAACACAAAUACAUAAGCUGUUGCAUACACACACAUACUCCAUGUACACGAACAAUACAUACACGUUUAUUGAAACAAAUUGCAGAAAAAAUCGUUAACCGCUUGAAGACAAAUCAAAUUUGGAGUAAACAUUCACUUUGGAACACAACAUUGAUAUGUCUUCCAUUUUUUUUUAACCAUUCAUACUAAAAUGUCAUAAAAGACAAUAUCAACGUAGAAUAUACGUUAUUAUUACUAUUGAUAAUUUUAUUUUAAUUGAAACAUCACCAUAAUCCAAGUUGAAAAUAAGCUCAACGAUUAAUGCGAGGAUUAUGUACAGAAAGUAACUGGAUUACAUACUAACUACAACUAGCAAGAGUGACAUUUCUAUUCAAACUGCAUCGAAUCAUUUAUAGCUGUUCAGACAUUUUUUUUUUUUUAUGACAGACACUCAUAGAACAAGUUUUCGGUGAAUCUAAAUCUGCGACCCGGGUUCGAUUCCCAACUUGGAGCUGUUUCACAUAUACCGCUAAUAUAAUUUCAAAAAGUUAAGAAUGCCACAACUUACCAUUAACCCUUCUCUACAAAUCUCCAGUUUUGUAAUUCAGUAUUGUGUACGUUUCAUUCAUGUCUUUUGAAGAAAUCAUUGAACGGUUACCGCUGAAAAACGCAGGAACGCCACAACUUAGAAUAAGCAUGUUGUAUUAGGAAACCAGUAUUAUAAUAAUCGCAUUUAACCUAAUUCCAUAUAAGAUGCUAAUGUUGAUACCAACUUCACACACAAAGUCAAGGAAGUUAUUUUUCAAAAAAAUCAUAGAUCAUAAUUUAGAUUAAUUCGCAUUUAUUUACUUUUACCAUUCUCUUUCUUUCGCACUUCUUCCCACUUCUUCUCUAAUUAUUUCAGUUCUUUUUUCUUUCUUUUUAUAUCUUUUUAUCUCUCAAACUCUUAUUUCUUAUUCCUCUAUAAUUUUUUUUUUAUCUCACCAUGUCUAGCAGCCCUUUUACUUCUCCCGAAUUAUUUCUGUACCAAUUUUCCUUGUUUUCUUUCCCCUCCUAACCGACAUGUAUAACAAAAUUGAAACCGUUUCUCAAUACCUAUUAUCUUUAAAUCUCACAUAUUUUACAACUUAAUGUACAACAACACAAUGUACUUUCUGCUACUCUCACUUCACUGAAUCUUCACUGUUAAUUUCUCUCAUUUAUGAUCUGGAGAUAAAAUUCAUUCACCUACCAUGCAAUUAAUUCUUCACAUACAGAAUAAUGUUAAAACAAAUAUAUAAACACAUCGCUUCUUAGAGGGUCAGAAGCUGAUAACAAUUGCACAAUGGACCGAUAUAAAGAUUAUCAUUAUCGAUUCAGGCCUUAGUCGGAAUACAUCCUUAAUUGCUAAGUUUUUUAUCUGAUCUGGUGGGAUUUUACUCGCUUGAUAUUUUUUCAAGACAUGUCUUCUGUCACAGUUUUAUCACCAAACCGUUGCCAUGAAGGCAGUCGAUGUUACAAUAUAAAAGAAAUCUAUCGAACUUGUUUCAUAGUUUUCUUGUAUUUUGUUGCGUGUUCUUCGACCAGAACACGGAUUCCACAUUCUCUUCAUGACCAUUGGAGAGGUGCAAAUACAGAAGAAAGAAUCAUGAAAGCUGAAGAUAGUGUAAUAAAUAAAAUGAAGAGCCAGUCUUCGCAGAAAACAACCGAUUAUCUUUCUACGGAACACAUGUUUACUUCCUCGCCAACAGAAAUGUCAGAGUCAUCUUCUGAAAAAACAAGACAACCUCUCUUAAGAGACGUUUACACUGCAUAUAAAGCGAAGCAAGAUAAAGUUCAUACGACUAUUGAAACAAAGGAAAUUCAACACAACGUUUCAGAUCUUAACGAAAGAAUCAGUUUGAAAAAUAACAGUGUCGUUGAUGGGCUAGAAAUGAACAGCGGUGAGAGCAACUCGCAGUUAGGUUCCUUGAUAGAGGAGAAAGAGCUUGACUACAAUUCAACUGAUAAAACUAAUAUCGAUGGAAAGGAGCUGAUACAAUUAUCGUCUAUAGAUGUUAAUAAGCAACUGAAACAUUCAUCCAGCAAGAAGGUCAAAACAUCAAAGAAUAUAAAAAAAGGAAACAAUAAACGAUCCAAGUUAAAUGAAACAAGUCAAAACCGACAAACUGACGCCAUUAAUAUACGGAAGACCACUGAUAUGGGAUUGACUGUUAAUUAUUUAAGUUCUGCGGAAACUCCUGACUCAUUGCAAAAUGUAGAGGAAAAGAACAGAGCAUUGUUUGCUGUACAGAAAUCUACUGACCCGAGUACACACAGAACACAUAACACGUUGGACAGUAAAAAAUAUAAUUUUCAAGGAAAGAUCAAAAGUAAAAAGACUGAAAAACUACCGAAUAAAAAACGAAAAAAGAAAAAGAAAGUUAAGACGAGUAGAAUCCGAAAUAAAAGCUUAAACGUAACGAGUAAAAAAGGAAAAAAAAAAAUUAAUGACAUUUCUACAUCGACUGAAUUCCACCGAGUAAGGUUUGCAACAAACAAACGCGGAAAAAAGGAUGAAUACCGUGAGAGUUCAAAGAAGAAUAAAACUGAUCGAUUUGCGAACUGGAAUCGACUGCCUAAGAGAGUCAAUCAAAAACAAACGCCAAAUGCAGAAAAACCGCAAAAAGACAUUUCUUUUGAACUAAACUUAUUUCAUAAAGACCGUUUUAAGUUAAGGAACGAGUUAUCGACUGGGUCAAAAGAAAAUUUUCAACAAGAUGCAACAUUUUUGCCAAAAUUUUUCUUUCAGAAUUCGAGAAAUCUAAUUUCAACAACGAAACAAAUACCUGAAAAAAAAAUUAAAGACCGAUUAUCUUCUGUUUCACCUUUUCGAUUAUUCAGAUAUAGAAACAGAAAGGGGAAACAACAUUCACUAAAUGAGCACGACCAUUUCCAGAAAAUUGUUAGAAAUGAAGGUUCGUCACCAGAUAAAACUGAGAAGCAAUCAUUUCCGAACCCUAAUCCGUCAAUAGUUACAACAAUCAGAAAUGUUUUAAAACCUGGAAAAGGAAAAGAAUCAGCUCAGCAAAACAUAUCAGAUAAUUUUGAGGUUUCAAAACUAUUUCGUACAACACAAUCAGAAUCAACUUUGAAGAGCAGAAGCGAUCGAUUCAAGCAAAAUAAACAAUCAUAUGUAACUAUGCUUCCUCUAACAACAACAUUAGAUGAAAAGAACCUGGAAAGAACAGUGAUAGUACCCAAGAACGUAAAAGAAUUGUCGGAAACAGAUGUGAAACAAACAGAUUUGAAUGAAAAAGAAUCCAGACACACAAAUAACGUAAAACAUAAGGAAGUCACUGAAUAUACCAAUGAUCGAACGAAGUGGACGUUAAGUGACGAAAAUCUCAAAUUAACUUCUUUACCAAGCAAAACAUCUGCUGGUUUGAACGACCAUUUGCUGAACAAAGUUUCAAGCGCACCGAAUUUCAUUUCUACCGCAGAUCACCGGCACUUAAGUUUCGAGAACACCAUCAUUAAGCAAACAGUUAAAGGUUCGGUCACUGAUUUAGAUGCUAACUUAAAAAGAAAUUCAUCAAUUCAAUUUAAUAAUUCAGCUCCUUUCAAUUCAGAUUUUAUCGAUGAGGUACAGACCACCCAUGAGAAUUUUUCUUCUAAAUCUUCCACAGACCAGGUCGUUAUUUCAGAAUUAUCAACUAAUCCCACAAUUUUAUCUUCGGGUAAAGGUUCUUCCCUUAGGACACUUUAUGGAAAUACGAAGACCAAGAUGAAAAAAUCGAAAAUACCUGAAACUGAACUAAUAUAUCAAACAGUGACUCCAAAGUAUUUAUGGCAAAAUACAGCACAAUCGAAAACUAAUCGCGAACAAAUAGCAUCUCAAAACGACAUACAUUUUAAUGAUCUAAUAAAACUUCUUUCCACACAGAUACCACAUGACAUGCUUACAAAACUCCCAACACCCAAAUCUGAGAACUAUAAGUCAGAAGACAAUGUUGCUGCCUCAUCCGGAAGAAGUAAUGAAGAAAGUAAAUCUUCAGUUACAGUAAAUUAUAUUGACGAUUCUACUCAAACAUCAAUUUCAAAAGUGUCAGAUGAUAUUUCACUAAAGAAUGAACAUAAAUAUAAUUCUUAUUCGAUAAAUCCAACACAUGGAUCAUACAAACAUCUUUCGACUUCGGCAACUCCAAAAGAACUAUUUCAUUUCCCUCUGGACUUUGAUAACUCAACUCCCUCCAAAUCAAUUGCAGAUGAAAAACACCGGACGUCUCAAAUCUUCUCCACUACUACCAAAGAUCCCAAAACAAGUGAACAUACUAUCUUAACAACUAAAUAUGAUACUUCGGUUUCUACCAGUGAGUUACCAACAUAUUCUCAGGAUGCCUCAGUGUCAACUAUAAUGACAAAUAGUCAAUACAAAGCGUCAUCUUCACACAUAACUCCUACACAUCAACCUCUGUUCCAAACAACUAUGAUACCAACUUUAAGAAUCUCACCAAUUACUCGUGUUGUAUCAACGGAAAACUUAUCCACAAAAGCAGCUAAAAUAUUUCAGCCAACAUUCCCUAAACUUCAUUCCAAAAUUAUUGUUGAACAGACAUCAGCAACUACUGAUAAAAUGCCUACGUCACACCAAAAAUCCAUCAAUAAUGGAAAUAUUUCAAAUCAUAUUUCCUCCACCCUAUACCUGCAACCCCUCUCCACACGACGCACACAACUUUCUUCUACACAGCAUCCCCCUUAUAUAACAGAAAAAAUUUCCAAACGUCACACAACACCCCAAACUACAAACACCUCUUCACGACGCACUCCAUCACUAGCAACAACGUCUUCUACUCGAAACAGACCCCACCUACCUACAACACUUCCUAAGCAACACACAUCAUCCCUAACAAGAAAAAUGAUUCUCCCGCCAUCCACAAUAUCUACUCGGAACACAAAAUCUCACACCAUAAAACUGUCUUCUCGAACAAAGAUGAUAACAACAUCAAAGUUUUCUAAUCCACAUAUUUUAUCCCGCAGCUUUUCUAAACCAUUUAUAACGACGAUUGUAACAUCGAAAACGCAUAAACCGAGUGGAUCGAUACAAUCAGAAGCUACUCCGAAAAACGCCCUGUACGAUUUUACUUCCAUGACACAAACAACAAAACAUAUAUCAAAAGACAAUCGUGUUCCAACAACUAACACACCGUCAUCAAAUUCUGUAACUCCUUCGCCAGAAUCAGUUAGUACUCCGUCACAAGAGACAGGCAGUACUUGGUCACAAACGUUUGAUAAAGGUCACCAAAAUCUUCUCGUUGUUUGUAAAGUAGAUACAUCUGUAAAUAUAAACAGCGACCAAUUUCAGAACAAUAUAAGAAAUGGUUUGGUUCAAAGCUAUAUCGAAGGCAAAGCUUUAGGAGAAGUAAACAAAUCUGGCAGCAUGAAAAAGAGACGGAAACGUUCACUGGAAGGAUCCAAGGAUCAGGUCCACCGAAUCAAUGAAAUGACAUUAACCAAGUGUGCUGAUGGCUGUAAAACAGGGUCGGACGAUGUUAAAGCAGUGAUAAUUCGUCAAGAUCGCCGAGAUGCUUUGGUCAGUAUAUAUUUCCAAAUGCAAGAAAAUGGAUCUGUAGUAGAAGCUGAGAAAGCGGCAGAGAUAUUUGCAAGACUUCAGCUUACAGAAAUAAGUGUACAUCUAAAAUAUGCGAUAUUUGAAAAAGUGACGGUAAUCAAGUCAUUACUUCCACGCCAGGGUCAUCCACCGAAACCUUCGUCAACAAAAUGGAUGAUGGUCACCAUAGCUGCACCAUCGAUUCCGGUCCUGUGUGUUAUUUUCAUCUUGUUAAGUAGCUGGUAUCGCAACCACACACGACUUCGUCAAAAAGCAAUGGCAGAUAUAUCACGCGGAAGUGGGUAUACAGAGUCACUAGCUGAUGUCGGCCUGGAGAUCGAUAUGGAAAAAGGAGAAAUCGUAAGCCGUGCUGGUUCCACUUCUGUCCUGUGGUCUGAAGACUUUGUUGCUUCGGCAACCAAAGAAACUAAUUCUCACGCUGGUUAUUUCGGAGCGGAUUACGAAAGCUCGCGCAGUAAUUCAUGGAGUGCUUACGCUGAUCCAAAUAACGUAUUCAAUAGCCUCCGCAACAAAAAACGGUCUCCAAUUCCCAAACGUUACCAACGUCAAGGAAAAUACGCCAAGAAACAUAGUUCAAGCAGCUUUAAUUUUGAAACUGGUCUAGAAGAUGAAUGGCUAGGCUGUCUUCUUUCUACUGAUUACUGCGAUGCUGGCAACUUCAAGGCAGAAUGGUUACAGCUUCAAUCUUUCCGAAGGUGUAGCCUGGGCGCGAAUGAACAUAACACAACAGCUCACCAAUUUAUGAAUCCUUUAAACCGGUUCUGGGUAGAUACAAGUGGCCCUAUACUUCAACAAUGCAGUCCAACAUCUCCUGUGGCCGGCUGGCCAAAGAACAACAACGGCAAAACGAUACAUCCACGAGUAAAGCAUGCAGUGAAGCUUCCGGUCGGUCCCAAAUGCUGAGACUUUCUCUUCAUGCAAACAUCAUCUCUCAGUUCUUAGCUGAACUUGAGAACAUGUAACUUCCAAAGCAUUAAUGAUGCUCAACAGACAAACAAGUGGAGCAAACGGUUUCAUAUGAUCCAAGGACUUUUAUCUAAUGAGCACGAAUACGGUUUCAUUCUAAAGAGCUACUAAUUAGCAACAAGUAUUUCAUCAUCGGCAAUACAUUCAAGGAUACACAAAUUAUUGGAGUACACUUAUUUCUAAUUAUCUUCUGCUUUCAGAGAAGCAAAAGUAAAUCUCCACAAAAAAAAAGAAACAAAAUAAGUGGGGAUUAAAAGACGAAGAAAAGACAAAAAGUGUGCGUGUAUGUGAGAAUGGGUAUGUGUGUAUGUGUUUGUGUGAAAGAGAGAGAGAGAGAAAAAAAAUGAAUGGUUAUAAAGUAUUCAUUUCGUCAAACUCACUCGGAUUUUGUCUUCUUUCUGCCAUGUUAUUUCUGGGUAAUUGAAAACCAUUAGUAAAUGGUUAAAACUUUGGAAACGAACCUGAUCUUACCCGUUUUUGUGUGUGAUAAAAUGUACAAAAAGUACUGUAAAAAGAAAGAGUAAUGUAUGUUAUGUACACUGUCUUUUUCACUUCCGCUUGUAGCACGCGAUCCAUGGCGUGUUCGAUUGAGUAUGUACCUAUGUAUGUACAUCUUUACAUUUACUGUUAUUUAUAAUGGAUUUCUAAUGGAUAAAAAAGACUACCGUUGAUAAACUCAUUCAUCGGCAUUCACAUCCCAACUGUAUUUACAGUUCAAGAGAAGGAUCAAGCAUCUAUCAUAUUUAAACUAUAUUGUAUCUAUAUAUUUUUUCAGAAGCAACGAAAUGUAUUUAUUUUUUACAUAUGCAAAAAAAAAAACCAAUUUUUAUCGGUAUAGGUUACAGAUGAUGGAAUCGAAGCAAUCUUUCACUGGUAUUUUUUUUACAUAAUUCAGGAAGGAUGCAAGAUAUCUUGAACUCAGAACCUAAAGGAACAAACUGUUUCUCUUACCUGUCUCUAUUUUUACCAACACCUCAUCCGUAACAAAAUACAUUACUUUAAUCCAUUUUUUUUUUGUUCCUUUCUUUUUGCCUUAUCUCAUUUUCUUAUUAAAGAAUCAUUAUUCUCAAUUACGUCUGCUUUCCAAGCUUGUAUGGGUUGGGCUAGUUAACACAAUCCGAGUCAUUUUUCUAUUGGGAAUUGCUGCUUUCAUAAACUUGUGCUUAUAUGUCAGUCUGAUUGGCUUCUACGACGGGAUGCCCUACUUAUCACCAACUACUUUACAGAGUGUAUUUUCUCAUGGUACAGUACUGGGGAGGUCGACAAGUUCUCGGCGAUAACAGAAACCAGCACUGAAGACUAUGUGAUACCGACUUCAACUGCAACCACUGACAUAAACUAGCUGGGAACAAAUUGAUUUGUGCGGACAGACAAAUCCAUGAAUUUGAUGUACAAUUGGAGUUUGGUCACAAUGCAUUACAAAAGAUGCUGGAAGACAUUGGGUAUUGGAAAGUGUGUACUGCAGCAGCUGGCAUCCAAUUUGAAGAAGAGAGAAGGAUUGAAGUCUGCUUGAACCGACUGAAGUCAAUGAGAACAUGCUUUCUUUUUUUCUUUUAUUUGGUGACAGGAGAAGAAAUGUGGGCAUAUUUUCAUGAUCUAGGACAUGAAGGUUGUCAAUGGAAUGGUGUCACAUUUCUCCAAAGCCUAAUAAUCAGUGCUUGGUGCAGAAAGUCAUGGUGACUGUUUUGGAGAAUGGCAAGCAUCAUUCUCCUCAAUUUUCUGAAACGUGGCUGUACCGCAAACAGUAAGCAUUACACUGAGACAAUCAAAACGCUUACAAAAAUCAGUUGGAGGAAGAGAGUGAACAAGAAAUUCAAAUGAACAUUCACCAUGACAAUGCAUAACCGUACACAUUUUUGGCAACAAACCAAUCAGCAAAUUGGGUUAGUCAGUGGUCUCCUAUCCACCGUACAAACAAGAUCUGGAAUCCUCCUGCUUCCAUCUGUUUGGUUCAAUGGAAGACAGUCUUCAGGGACAAUGAUUUGAUUUAUGAUGCAGACAAGAUGAAAGUGGCUAUGAAGAAAUAAGUACAACAAUGCAUAUCUAAAUGAUUUCAAAGUGGAUUCAAAAGUUGGGUUAACAAUAGUGCAAAUGCUUCACUUGACAUGGAGACUUUGUUGAAAAACACCUUUGUAUAGAGUUUCUCUAGUUCUAUGUGCACCCCUAAACCAGAAAGUUUGAUGCAGUUAUUGUUAAGUUUUAUGUUUCCUUCUAAGCUGAAUCAGAGAAUACAGGCCAGUGCUUAUAAGCCUUAUCAGGGAGAAAGUUAGUCUAAGACUGGCUAAAAUGCUUAUGAGAGUCGACACUAUUAAAGAUACCCAAGGAGCCAGGUUGCAGUGUUAAACUGCGUGACAGAUUAAGUCUACCACUCAAUGAACAUCUAUAGGUCAAUGCCUGCAGAUUAAAAAAAAAUUGUUGAGAUGGGGAGGAGUCAGAAGGUUGCAGUUCUAAGCAAGGACUGUAUGAAGGUUCAGAAAUACAACUUCUAGAAUUGAGUGUCAAAAGGUAAUGCAAACAAUUACAUCUCAAUUGUUUUGUGUUUGAGAUGUGGAAAUACUAGCAAUGGAUUUUGACAGAAUUAACUGUUUAAGAUGGUUGUAAUCAUGAAGAAAUAAACAUGUAUGCAGUCUGAUUGGAUGGCAAGUUUGAGUAAAGAAUCUUGUUCAGGGUUUGUCUCCCUUUUUUUUUUUUUUUAUUUGAAACACUACCAGGAGGGGUUUUUGUCUACUCAUUACUUGGAAGAUCUCUGUUGAACAAAAAAAUUUUCAGUCAUACCAUCAUAUAUGCAGUAAAAGAAUUGAGAAACUUAGCAAGUCAACUUUUGAACAUGCCAACAGUGUUUUACUCUAUUGGCAUGUUCAAAAUAGCGAGAAAUUAAAUACUUAAACCAAUAUACUAAACCUGAUCCUAGUAACAGUGCGUGUCUCCUGUUUCCAUACAGAUAUGUAGAUGAGAGGUGAUAUUGAUCUAUCAUAGCUUUUUACACAGUACCUUUUCUUAAGCUGUCCAAAACCUACUGAUUUAGCUGUGGUGGAAGAGUACCUUAGACCAAGCUAACAAAAAUUAGAGGGUUGUAAACGAAACUUAGUGAUUGCUUCAAUACUGCAUGACACAGAAUGUAGUUUAAACUGAGUUUUGAAAGUGCAUAUAACUAAGAAAAUUUGAGAAAGGUAGGCAUAAUAGAAUAUUUUUCAGAAGAUAUUCACGUUGAAAAUAUUGAAAAUAAUGUCAUAAAAAAAAAUAUUAAGCAAAAUAUCUAAAAAAAAAAUCUCUAAAUAAAUUUAAUGAAAAAAUUAUGUAACCAAACACAGAAUUUGUUUUAAAUGAUUUAUCUCAAGAAAAAAAAAAAAGAAUUGUCAAAACGGUAGAAAGUUGAAUGACAUGUAAAGAAGAUGAUAGGAUCAUCACUUUCAUUGUUUAAAUGAAAAUUACAAAUAAGUCCCCACUUUUAUGACAAAAUUGAAAGAUUGAGUAUGGAAUCAUCAUUGUUUAAACUUUUGUGUGUAGCUGUUUAAAAGAGAAAAUCAAGUCAACUUAGAGAAGCCAACUCUGAUUUGAAAUGGAAUAUACAAUGCAUUACCAAAUUGUCCAUUUUUCUCUCUGGUUGGAUGUAUUUAUUGAUAGUGAGUAAGGAGGUUAAAAAUAUACAAUGCAGUAAGGUGUCAGAGAUGAAAAAUUUCUCAAAACAUACCCAGAUACUAAUAAGGCAAAAAAAA